rnacentral:rRNA from 1 species
AUACGGAGGGUCCAAGCGUUAUUCGGAAUCAUUGGGUUUAAAGGGUCCGCAGGCGGUCAAUUAAGUCAGAGGUGAAAGCCCAUCGCUCAACGAUGGAACUGCCUUUGAUACUGGUUGACUUGAGUUAUACGGAAGUAGAUAGAAUAAGUAGUGUAGCGGUGAAAUGCAUAGAUAUUACUUAGAAUACCGAUUGCGAAGGCAGUCUACUACGUAUAUACUGACGCUGAGGGACGAAAGCGUGGGGAGCGAACAGGAUUAGAUACCCCUGUAGUCC